UCACUGCAUUCCAGCCUGGGUGACAGAGUGAGACUGUGUCUCAAAAGGAAAAAACAGACAGCUCUUUCCCUCCCAGCAGGCGGCUGUGGCGGCGGCGGCCUGUGCAGCAAUGGCCAAGAUCAAGUCUCCAGAUCUUUGUGGGAAGAAGGAGGAGCUGCUGAAACAGCUGGACGACCUGAAGGUGGAGCUGUCCCAGCUGCGUGUCGCCAAAGUGACAGGCAGUGCGGCCUCCAAGCUCUCUAAGGUCCGAGUCGUCCGCAAAUCCAUUGCGCGUGUUCUCACAGUUAUUAACCAGACUCAGAAGGAAAACCUCAGGAAAUUCUACAACCGGCAAGAAGUACAAGCCCCUGGACCUGCGGCCUAAGAAGACAGGCGCCAUGCACCACCGGCUCAACAAGCACGAGGAGAACCUGAAGACCAAGAAGCAGCAGCAGAAGGAGCGGCUGUACCCGCUGUGGUAGCACGCGGUCAAGGCCUGAGUCAAUAAAGCACAGCUGACUGAGAAAAAAAAAAAGAAAAGAAAAAACAAACCAAAAUGAACAACAACUACAACAACAACAAAAAAUAACAAAACCCACAGCCAUCAGAUUUAAUACAGAAGAGUUGAAAGCAUUCCCUCUAAGUACUGCAACAUGAAAAAGAUGCUAACUUUCACCACUCAUAUUCAAAGUAGUACCAGGUGUCCCUGUCAGAGCAAUCAGCAGGCAAGAGAAAAAACAAAAACCAGCAUCCAAGUUGGAAAAGAGAAAGUCAAAUUAUCCUUUUUUGCUAAUGAUGUGAUCUAUCUAGAAAACCCUAAAGACUCCACCAAAAGACUCUCGGAUUUGACAAAUGAAUUCGAAACGUUUUAAGAUAAGAAAUUAAUACAGAGAAAUGAGCAGCAUUUUCAUAUAACAAUAAUGAUCUAGCCAAGGACCAAAUCAAGAAGGCAAUCUCAUUUCCAAUAGCUACCGGAAAAAAAAAAAAAACUUACAAAUAUACUGAACCAAGGAGGUACACAAUCUCUAUAAGGAAAAUUACAAAACACUGAUGGAAGAAAUUGCAGAUGACACAAACAAAUGGAAAAACAUCCCAAGCUCCUAAAUUGGAAGAAUCAACAUUGCUAAAAUGAUGAUAUUGCCCAAGGCAAUCUACAGUUUCAAUGCAAUCCCUAUGAAAUUAUCAACAUUCUUUUCCCCAGAAUUAAAAAGAAAAUUCUAAAAUUCAUAUAGAACCAAAAAAGGCCCCAAAUAGCCAAAGUAAUCUUAAGAAUACAGAAUAAAGUUGGAGGUAUCAAAUUACUUGAUUUCAAAUUACACUAUAAAGCUAUAGUAACCAAAACAGCAUAGUACUAGUAUAAAAAUAGACACAUAGGCCAGGAGUGGUG